rnacentral:miRNA from 1 species
CAUCCUCCUUACAUCCCACCCCCACUCCUGUUUUUGGUGAAAUAUUCAAACAGGAGUGGGGGUUGGACAUGAGGAGGAUA